rnacentral:rRNA from 1 species
GGACUACCGGGGUUUCUAAUCCUUAUCGCUACCCAAGCCUUCGUCCCUCAACGUCAGUUAUUACAUAAAAGGUUGCUUUCGCCAUUAUCAGUCCUCACAGUAUCAAUGAAUUUCAACUCUACUCUGCAAAUACUCCCCUUUUUACAUAUAACUCUAGUUAAAUUGUAUCCUUAUUAGGACUAAUAUAACCGUCUAGGUACCCUUUAAACCUAAUAAAGAUGAAUAACACUAGUCUUCUACGUAUUACCGCGGCUGCUGGCAC